AUGAUGACCAUGCCAGCAUACCAGCCUAUGCCCGCCAUGGGAGGAAUGAUGCCCGGACUAGGUGGAAUGGGGACAAUGCCAGCUAUGAUGAUGCCCCAGGCUCAGCCUGUAAUGCCAUCGGUGGAUCCCAACCAAGUGGCAGCACAGCAACAAGCCUUCAUCAACCAGCAGGCAUUGCUUCUGGCUCAGCAGAUGACUCUUCAAGCCAUGACACUUUCUCAGCAGCAGCAAGGGCAACAACACCGGCAAAGGGAGAGGUCUCCUGAAUUCCCAAGAGCAAGGCGAUCACCCUCAAGAAGGUGGUCACCAGAACCUUCAAGGCCAUGGCGAGGGUCUCCACCAAGGUCACCUGAAUUUUCAAGGCCAAGGAGAACAUCAACAAAGAGAAGGUCACCUGAACGUUCAAGGGCCAGGCGGGCAUCACCACAAGAUGAAUCACCUGAAUAUUCAAGGCAAAGACAAGAUUCUCCUCCACCACCUCAGUCUUCUCUAGCUGCUAAACCCAAACACGUUAAUAGUAGCCAAAAGAAAGUAUCUACUAUUCACCAGUCAGAAUCUCCUCCUGGGGCUCCAGAGGUGAUCCACAUCUACCAAGAAAAGGAGGACCCAGGCAUCAAAGCAGGCACCCUUUCAAAAGAAACUAUCCGGAAAAAAAUUGAUUACUUCCAAAAAAUUGGGCAACAACCAAGUCCUAUGAAGUCAAUAAUUCCCCCAUCGAAGACCUGGAAUCCUCCAAAUAAACUACAACCAGAGGAUCAGCAGAAGCUUCAAAAUGCAGGUAUGAAAGAAAAUAACCAAGCCCAACCCACUCAGCUGGCACCAGAACCAAGCCAGGAGAUAAAGAACAUUGUUAAAACACACCAGAAUCGUCCAGUCCCACCACCCAUACCCGCCAAGCCUCCCAGAAAUAUUUCUAAACCUUUUGUGAAAAAACAUGACCCAAAGGAGGAAGCCCUGGCAAAGCUGGGGAUCGCAGGAUUGGAUUCUUCUCCGGUAAGCAUUUGUUUACCACUUCAUGUCAUUAUAAGGUGAGCGAAUAUGAUCCAGUAGCCAAGGUCUGGUUGGGAUUUUCAAGUUCACAUUUCCAGACAACCAAUGAUGCUCUCUAGGUAGCUUUGGGCAAGUAACUGUUUCCCAUCCUAAUCUAUCUCACAGGCUUGUUGUGGGGAUAAAAAUUGUAUAAACUUUACAUGGCACCCUGACUUCCUUGCUGGAGAAGAAAGAUACACAUAUGCUGAAUCAGGGCCGUAGCCAGAAAAAAAAUCGGGGA
rnacentral:lncRNA from 1 species